rnacentral:rRNA from 1 species
GUGGCAGCCGCCGCGGUAAUACGGAGGGUGCAAGCGUUAAUCGGAAUUACUGGGCGUAAAGCGCGCGUAGGCGGCUAUAUAAGUCGGAUGUGAAAGCCCUGGGCUCAACCUGGGAACUGCAUUCGAUACUGUAUAGCUAGAGUUUGGUAGAGGGAAGUGGAAUUCCACAUGUAGCGGUGAAAUGCGUAGAUAUGUGGAGGAACACCAGUGGCGAAGGCGACUUCCUGGACCAGAGCUGACGCUGAGGUGCGAGAGCGUGGGUAGCAAACAGGAUUAGAUACCCUGGUAGUCCACGCCCUAAACGAUGAGGACUAGACGUUGGGGGGAUAAAACCCUUUAGUGUCGCAGCUAACGCGUGAAGUCCUCCGCCUGGGGAGUACGGCCGCAAGGUUGAAACUCAAAUGAAUUGACGG